rnacentral:rRNA from 1 species
UACGUAGGGUCCGAGCGUUAUCCGGAUUUACUGGGCGUAAAGCGCGUUCAGGCGGUUUGGCAAGUCGGGCAUGAAAUCUCUCGGCUCAACCGGGAGAGGUUGUCCGAUACUGCUGGACUUGAGGGCAGUAGAGGGUGGUGGAAUUCCGGGUGUAGUGGUGAAAUGCGUAGAUAUCCGGAGGAACACCAGUGGCGAAAGCGGCCACCUGGACUGUACCUGACGCUGACACGCGAAAGCUAGGGGAGCGAACGGG